GAGUUUAUUAAGAACUUGGUUCUGAUUUUUAUUGUUGGGUAAGGAAAGGGUUAUAUAUGCAAACUUUAUUGGUGGAACGGUGAGGAAGUGUAAGCGGAUUGGAUUUUUUUUUGAGAAAAAAAUUUUAUUUGGUACAUAAGUUUUAACUAUUAUUUUAUAAAAGGGAGAUAGCUAUUAAAUAACUUCACAUCUGCAGUAAUAGAUACUUAAACUAUAACUGGGAGGUUGAUUAGGCUAGAUUUUCUUAGAGGUGGCGAAGAUAUCGUGCCAGCAGCCGCGGUUAAACGAACAGCCUCUUCCUAAUAUAGUAAGCAGCUUAAUAUAAGAAAAUAAAAGUAAAGAAUUGAUGAAUAAGUGGAAAAUUUUAGGAGUAGAAACCUAAUUUUCUUUGAGUUUUCAGGAAAAAAGUUGGGAUUAUUAAGAUAAAGAGGAAGACCUGGAUUAGAUACCCAGUUAUUCUUUAUAAAAAGUUUAUAUGCUGGUGGAGUACGGGGGUUUCUCUGAGAAACAAAGAACUUGGCGGUUAUUUAUUUCUGAUUAGGGGAGCUUGCUUGAAGAAAAUGAUAAUCCACGUUAAACCUUACCUAUUUUUGUAUAAUCAGCUUCUAUAUCAUCGUCAUUAAGUUUUCACUGAGAGUUAGAAGACUAAAUAGCUAAAAUAGGGCAAGAUGUCAGAUCUAGAUGGAGCUUAUAAAUAGGGUAGAGUGGGCUACAGUAGAAUUAUAUUUAGUAACUUGGAUUGGAUAUUUGAAAUAUACUCAUAAAAAAGGACUUAAUAGUAAUAAAUAAUAGGAGACAGAUUUUAUGAAAUUAGCUCUAAAUUUCGUACACAUCGCCCGUCACCUGCGGGAUUAAACCCGGAGUAAGUCGUAACAAAGUAGGUGUACCGGAAGGUGUGACCUGGG
rnacentral:rRNA from 1 species